rnacentral:tRNA from 1 species
GUACUCAGUCGGCAGAGCAUGAGGCUCUUAACCUCCAGGUUGUGGGUUUGAGCCCCACGUGGGGUG